CCCAAGAGUCAGGGGGGAAGAGGGGAUGGAUCUCAGCCAUCACAAAAUGGGGGGCCUUUAUGUUCAGGUUUUGCCCAAGAAUCAGCUUAUUUGCUUCUUGUACUAGCAGGGCAGUUGCUGCCAAGGCCCUCAAAUAGGGGGGCCAUUCUUUAGCAACCCUGUCUAGUUGUUUAGAGACGUAGGCUACCGGCCUCAGCCAGGGCCCCACAGUUUGGGUUAAAAGUCCAGCUGCCAUCUUUUCUCUCUCUGACGCAUACAAUGGAAAAGGCUUUGUCAGAUCGGGUAGCCCCAGGGCUGGGGCUGCCAGAAGAUUUUCUUAUAACUAAUGAAAGACUUGCUGUUGUCGGGAUCCCCAUUUCAAAGGUUCCGGGUCCCCGCCCCCUUUGUGACCUCAUACAAAGGCUUGGCUAAUACUGCAACGUUUGGGAUCCACAGCCUACAAAACCCCACAGCUCCUAAGAAUUCUCUCACCUGCCUUCUGCCCUUAAGCUCCGGUAGAUUGCAAAUAACCUGCUUUCUUUCUGUUCCUGAGCUGCGUUCGGACCCCUGUCGUAUUGUAAAUCCCACGCAAGGUACCUGCCGUCGGAAGAUUUGAGCUUUCUUCUUGAACACCUCAUACCCACAGUCCUCCAGACAGAAGGACAACAGGUACAAAGUCCUAAGGAUUAUAAAGGUAUGCUGCUUGCCAUCAUCUUAGUGACCAAGGCAGCGAAGCUGUUUCUGUACCUUGGAACAGUCUUCCCUGACAAGCCAGAGAACAGCGAUAAAGCCACCAGCCUUGGGAUCAGGACUGAAAAGGCAAGAGUGAUGGAGAUUUCUCCUGCGCUAAGCCAAGAGAAGGUUUCAGCACCUCAGACAGCUCCCACCGAAGUAGCGGCGCUCCCAGCUGCUUGCAGAUGUGGAAAAGGAAAGCCUCGGUUUGUCUUGAGGUUGUCAGCAGUUGCAAGACACGUAAUAAAAUGCAAUGUGUUCCUAAUUCAUUGCAUAUCCUCAGCUUUAAAUUUGGGUAGCAAAAUGAUUACUCUAGAUUCUUCAGCCUUGCCUUGGCAAGUAUCUGUACCUAAAAAGCAGUUUUUCUACCUAAUCUCUUUUUUUGUUUUUGUUUUUCAAUACACUUUAAGCAAAUUGAAGCUUU
rnacentral:lncRNA from 1 species